GGCUCCGUUGGCCUAUUGGUAGAGCGUCCACCUCUGAUGCUGGAAGUCGCGGGUUCGAAGCCCGCUAGAGUUA